AGAACGAACGCUGGCGGCAUGCCCAAUACAUGCAAGUCGAACGAAGGCUUCGGCCUUAGUGGCGCACGGGUGCGUAACGCGUGGGAAUCUGCCCCUUGGUUCGGAAUAACAGUUGGAAACGACUGCUAAUACCGGAUGAUGACGAAAGUCCAAAGAUUUAUCGCCAAGGGAUGAGCCCGCGUAGGAUUAGCUAGUUGGUGAGGUAAAGGCUCACCAAGGCGACGAUCCUUAGCUGGUCUGAGAGGAUGAUCAGCCACACUGGGACUGAGACACGGCCCAGACUCCUACGGGAGGCAGCAGUAGGGAAUAUUGGACAAUGGGCGAAAGCCUGAUCCAGCAAUGCGCGUGAGUGAUGAAGGCCUUAAGGUUGUAAAGCUCUUUACCCGAGAUGAUAAUGACAGUAUCGGGAGAAUAAGCCCCGGCUAACGUCCGUGCCAGCAGCCGAC
rnacentral:rRNA from 1 species